rnacentral:lncRNA from 1 species
UGUUCUCCGAAUGGCUGUGUGGUGGUUGUUGCAAUCGCUUGAAACCUCUUUGCUUUGGUAUUCUCUUGUUUUUGGUCAGUAAUUGGAACCACUUCUGUUGUUUAUUUCACCUUCUUCCUGCCAAAGAAAGAGAAAAUAAACAUAGAACUAGCUACUCUAUACCUUUUGCAUCACCUAAAUAUUGUAUUUACAACACUCAAUGUGCUUCAGUAGGAUGUACUCCUUCCGUUUUAUAUUAAAUGCGGUAGUUUGACUUGACACGGAGUUUAAGAAAAAAGAAGAAGACUUUAGGAAUUUGUUGUCUUAAAAGCUUAAGGGGUAAAAAUUUGUGGGGCCAUGAUAUUUGUGUGGCUAUAAAAGCUUCUCAUUAAGGGUAAAUGGGUAAAAUGAAAGAGUUUAAAGUUGAAUUAUUUCCAAAUUUAUAAUUGUAUCAUUUAUUUUGGAACAAACUAAAAAGGAAAGUACCUCAUUUAAUAUGAAACGGGGAAGUAAUAUUAAGCAGAGACAGUAACAGGGCAACUCUCCUUUGGCAUGUCACCUAAUAUUUGUGAUCAAACAGAGUCACCCAAGUUACUGCAUGCCAAUAAAGAGUAACCCUAUCACUAUUUCGCUUAUUCGCAGCCAUCCUUCAUUAUUUACCUUUCUUGAAUUCUUAUCAUUCUCACUAAGUUUUUGUUUGCAAUACACAAGAGUUAUU